UACGAGGGGGGCGAGCGUUGUUCGGAAUUAUUGGGCGUAAAGGGUGCGUAGGCGGCCUGACAAGUCUGAUGUGAAAUCCCCUGGGCUCAACCCAGGGCCUGCAUCGGAAACUGUCGGGCUUGAGUAUGGGAGAGGUGAGUGGAAUUUCCGGUGUAGCGGUGAAAUGCGUAGAUAUCGGAAGGAACACCUGUGGCGAAAGCGGCUCACUGGACCAUUACUGACGCUG
rnacentral:rRNA from 1 species